rnacentral:lncRNA from 1 species
AGUUGCUCUUUUGUUUUGCGGAUUGUAAAUAUAAAUAGGAGUAGAACAACCUCACCCCUACGUUUUUAAUAUUGCUGAAGAAAACUAUUGUUAUAUCAACUAACAUUUCUAACACUCGAAAUUUUAACUAUGAAAACAACUUCCGGAUUUUGGUUAUUCUUCAUUUUGUCAAUCACAUUUUACUUAUAUGCGAUUGACGCAUCCAGUUCUGACGGAGAAGAAAAGUUAACAAAAGAGGAAAUUUUACAAAAAUUAAACGAUGUCGUCGGUAAAUUUUCUGAAUGCAUCCAAUACCACGAAACAUGUAUGAAUUCUGGAGCUUGCACUAUGUUACAAUUGUGCAAUUCGCUGAAUGAGGGAAUAGUAACACCAUGUACUGGCAUUACUUUUGUAGAUACAUUUUUUUCAAGUCUUGGUAAAUAGAAGCUGCAGAAUUACAGAAAUAAUCCAUUUGUUAUCAUCGUUGAUUAGUUUUUAAUUCGUUUAUUAUACAAUUGUAGAAUGUUGAAUUUUUUGAAAUAAAUUAAUUUUUUAUAAAUAUGUG